rnacentral:lncRNA from 1 species
AAUGCUGUACCCCGUAUAGGACAUGGUAAAAAGUGACCCUCAAUUUUCAUAUUAACGGAUUAUUUUGGUUUCCGAAGUCAUUUUGGGGUUAAUUUUGUUACUAUGUAGUAAAAAUGCUAUACCCCAUAUAGGACAUGGUAAAAAGUGACCCUCAAUUUUCAUAUUAAUGGAUUUUUUUGGUUACCGAAAUCAUUUUGGGGUUCAUUUUGUUACUAUGUAGUAAAAAUGCUGUACCCCAUAUAGGACAUGGUAAAAAGUGACCCUCAAUUUUCAUAUUAACGGAUUUUUUUGGUUUCCGAAAUCAUUUUGGGGUUAAUUUUGUUACUAUGUAGUUAAAAUGCUGUACCCCAUAUAGGACAUGGUAAAAAGUGACCCUCAAUUUUCAUAUUAACGGAUUAUUUUGGUUUCCGAAAUCAUUUUGGGGUUAAUUUUGUUACUAUGUAGUUAGAAUACUAUACCCCCUAU